UACGGGAGGCAGCAGUGGGGAAUAUUGCACAAUGGGCGCAAGCCUGAUGCAGCCAUGCCGCGUGUAUGAAAAAGGCCUUCGGGUUGUAAAGUACUUUCAGUCGUGAGGAAGGUGUUAAGGUUAAUAACCUUAGCAAUUGACGUUAGCGACAGAAGAAGCACCGGCUAACUCCGUGCCAGCAGCCGCGGUAAUACGGAGGGUGCGAGCGUUAAUCGGAAUUACUGGGCGUAAAGGGCACGCAGGCGGUUAAUUAAGUUGGAUGUGAAAUCCCCGGGCUUAACCUGGGAAUGGCAUUCAAGACUGGUUAGCUAGAGUCUUGUAGAGGGGGUAGAAUUCCAUGUGUAGCGGUGAAAUGCGUAGAGAUGUGGAGGAAUACCGGUGGCGAAGGCGGCCCCUGGACAAAGACUGACGCUCAUGUGCGAAAGCGUGGGGAGCGAAACAGGGAUUAGAUA
rnacentral:rRNA from 1 species